GGGCCGUGGAUAAGGAGAGAAAAAGGAGAGGGAAAGCUUCAUUGUUUUCAUCUUGAGUUAUAGCAAAGAACUUGGAGGAAUCAAGAGGGGAAAGCCAUAGCACUUCAAUCUUUCACUAAAACUUGAACAAGGAGGUGGUUUGCUCCAGGACGAACUAAGUUUUUCUUGCUUCUAAGUUCCACCUUUGGUCAAGAGUUUUUUGUGUCAAAAUUUGGUGAAGUUUGGACCAAUGUAACCCCUGUUUCAAAUUUUGUCAAGAAUGUUGCCGGUGUGAAGGGUUUGGAGUUCAAGGGCGAGCCGAGGGACGAUUCGGUGAUUAGCUCCGAUUACCUUCGCUAGUGGGGGCGGAGGACCCUGAGGAGCAAGUUGCAGGUCCUGAACUUUCGAUACUUUUGUAUAAAUGAUUUAGAGAGCAUUUUGUAGCUUUAGUUUUUGUUACACUCAAGGUCGGGUAGUUAACAUGAACAUAAAUUUUGACGGUAUAUACUAAGGUGAUUGUAAAUUAGAAUUUUGUACUUUGGAAUUGUAAGUGGAG